rnacentral:rRNA from 1 species
CGUAGGGUCCGAGCGUUGUCCGGAAUUAUUGGGCGUAAAGGGCUCGUAGGCGGUUUGUCGCGUCGGGAGUGAAAACUCAGGGCUCAACCCUGAGCGUGCUUCCGAUACGGGCAGACUAGAGGUAUGCAGGGGAGAACGGAAUUCCUGGUGUAGCGGUGGAGUGCGCAGAUAUCAGGAGGAACACCGGUGGCGAAGGCGGUUCUCUGGGCAUUACCUGACGCUGAGGAGCGAAAGCAUGGGGAGCGAACAGGAUUAGAUACCCUGGUAGUCCAUGCCGUAAACGUUGGGCGCUAGGUGUGGGGUCCUUCCACGGAUUCCGUGCCGCAGCUAACGCAUUAAGCGCCCCGCCUGGGGAGUACGGCCGCAAGGCUA